rnacentral:rRNA from 1 species
CGGCCUUGACAUACUAAGAACUUUCCAGAGAUGGAUUGGUGCCUUCGGGAACUUAGAUACAGGUGCUGCAUGGCUGUCGUCAGCUCGUGUCGUGAGAUGUUGGGUUAAGUCCCGCAACGAGCGCAACCUUUUCCUUAUUUGCCAGCGGGUCAUGCCGGGAACUUUAAGGAUACUGCCAGUGACAAACUGGAGGAAGGCGGGGACGACGUCAAGUCAUCAUGGCCCUUACGGCCAGGGCUACACACGUGCUACAAUGGUCGGUACAAAGGGUUGCUACCUCGCGAGAGGAUGCUAAUCUCAAAAAGCCGAUCGUAGUCCGGAUCGCAGUCUGCAACUCGACUGCGUGAAGUCGGAAUCGCUAGUAAUCGCGGAUCAGAAUGCCGCGGUGAAUACGUUCCCGGGCCUUGUACACACCGCCCGUCACACCAUGGGAGUUUGUUGCACCAGAAGUAGGUAGUCUAACCGCAAGGAGGACGCUUACCACGGUGUGGCCGAUGACUGGGGUGAAGUCGUAACAAGGUAAGCGUAGAUGA